rnacentral:rRNA from 1 species
UACAGAGGGUGCGAGCGUUGUCCGGAAUCACUGGGCGUAAAGGGCGCGUAGGUGGCGACCCAAGUCUGUGGUGAAAGCUCGACGCUCAACGUCGAGUCGGCCAUAGAUACUGGGUUGCUUGAGCACUGUAGAGGCAGAUGGAAUUCCGGGUGUAGCGGUGGAAUGCGUAGAGAUCCGGAAGAACACCGGUGGCGAAGGCGGUCUGCUGGGCAGUUGCUGACACUGAGGCGCGACAGCGUGGGGAGCAAACAGGG